AUUGAACGCUGGCGGCAGGCCUAACACAUGCAAGUCGAGCGGAUGAAGGGAGCUUUCUCCUGGAUUCAGCGGCGGACGGGUGUGUAAUGCCUAGGAAUCUGCCUGGUAGUGGGUGAUAACGUCCGGAAACGGGCGCUACUACCGCAUACGUCCUGAGGGAGAAAGUUGGUGAUCUUCGGACCUCACGCUCUCAGAUGAGCCUAGGUCGGAUUAGCUAGUUGGUGGGGUAAAGGCCUACCAAGGCGACGAUCCGUAACUGGUCUGUGAGGAUGAUCAGUCACACGGGAACUGAGACACGGUCCAGACGACUAAGGGAGGCCGCAGUGGGGAAUAUUGGACAAUGGGCGAAAGCAUGAUCCAGCCAUGGCGCGUGUGUGAAGAAGGUCUUCGGAUUGUAAAGCACUUUAAGUUGGGAGGAAGGGCAGUAAGUUAAUACCUUGCUGUUUUGACGUUACCAACAGAAUAAGCACCGGCUAACUUCGUG
rnacentral:rRNA from 1 species